rnacentral:piRNA from 1 species
UAGUUUUCACAUGAACUCCACAUCACUCC